rnacentral:rRNA from 1 species
GUAGGGUGCGAGCGUUAAUCGGAAUUACUGGGCGUAAAGCGUGCGCAGGCGGUCUGUUAAGACAGAUGUGAAAUCCCCGGGCUCAACCUGGGAACUGCAUUUGUGACUGGCAGGCUAGAGUAUGGCAGAGGGGGGGUAGAAUUCCACGUGUAGCAGUGAAAUGCGCAGAGAUGUGGAGGAAUACCGAUGGCGAAGGCAGCCCCCUGGGCCAAUACUGACGCUCAUGCACGAAAGCGUGGGGAGCAAACAGGAUUAGAUACCCUGGUAGUCCCACGCCCCUAAACGAUGUCAACUAGUUGUUGGGGGAUUCAUUUCCUUAGUAACGUAGCUAACGCGUGAAGUUGACCGCCUGGGAGUACGGUCGCAAGAUUA